rnacentral:rRNA from 1 species
UAAACCCCUGAUGGGGUAAGGAGCUGGUAUCAGGCACAAUAAUUAGCCCAAAACACCUAGCUAUGCCACACCCACAAGGGAACUCAGCAGUAAUUAAUAUUGGACAUAAGCGCCAGCUUGAUUCAGUUAAAGUAAAAAGGGCCGGCAAAUCUGGUGCCAGCCGCCGCGGUUACACCAUAUGGCCCAAAUUGGCCCCAACACGGCGUAAAGCGUGAUUAAAGUUUUACCCCAUUGUAGCUAAACUACUAUUGAGCUGUGACACGCCUUUAGCUAGGAAACCCAAAAACGAAAGUUGCUACAUACAAACCAACUUGAAUUCACAACAGCUAGGACACAAACUAGGAUUAGAUACCCUACUAUGCCUAUCUAUAAACUCUUAACUUACACCUAAAUCGCCUGGGAACUACGAGCAAAGCUUAAAACCCAAAGGACUUGACGGUACCCCAAAUCCCCCUAGAGGAGCCUGUCCUUUAAUCGAUAAUCCCCGUUCAACCUCACCAUUUUUAGUCAAUCAGUCUGUAUACCUCCGUCGUCAGCUUACCACGUGAGCGUCUCAAAGUAAGCCCAAUGUUUACACACAUCAAUACGUCAGGUCAAGGUGCAACUAAUAAAAUGGGAAGAGAUGGGCUACACUCUCUAAGAUAGAACACACGGAAAACUAACUGAAAACUAGUUUAAAGGUGGAUUUAGAAGUAAAAAAGAACUAGAGAGUUUUUUUUAACCCGGCACUGGGGUGUGUACACACCGCCCGUCACCCUCUUUGAAGCCCCCCCCCAACAGUACUUAACAAACUAACGCACAGUAGAAGAGGCAAGUCGUAACA